rnacentral:rRNA from 1 species
AUUGAACGCUGGCGGCAGGCUUAACACAUGCAAGUCGAGCGAGCGGCGGACGGGUGAGUAAUGUCUGGGAAACUGCCUGCUGUAGGGGGAUAACUACUGGAAACGGUAGCUAAUACCGCAUACCAUCAGAUGUGCCCAGCUGGGAUUAGCUGGUAGUUGGGGUAACGGCGCACCUGGGCGACGAUACCUAGCUGGUCUGAGAGGAUGACCAGCGACACUGGAACUGAGACAGGGUCCAGACUCCUACGGGAGGCAGCAGUGGGGAAUAGUGCACAAUGGGCGCGAGCCUGAGGCAGCCAGGCGGCGUGUGAGAAGAAGGCCUUCGGGUUGUAAAGCAGUUUCAGCGGGGAGGCGUUACCCGCAGAAGAAGCACCGGCUAACUCCGUGCCAGCAGCCGCGGUAAUAC